UGCUGGGAUUACAGGCAUGAGCCACCAUAUCCGGCAGCCUUUUCUAUUUUCAACCAUGCCUCAGAAAACCUGCUUUUGUUGUUGUUGGUGUCUUUUUGUUUUAAACAAAAGUCCCUUAGAUCUACCAUGGGGUCAUAAAAGCCCAGACCUUCAAAACAGCCCUAAGAUAGAUACCCUGAUGAGAUGGAUACCUGAUGAGUCCACGACUAAGAAACCAAAAUACAGUCAAUUUCUCAGUCAGAUGCUGGUGAUAUAUACAGAUAAAAGAACUUUAAAAAAUCAUUUAUAAUCUAAUAAUGAAAAGAUUACCAGAGCUAAAGUUUGCUGCACUGACAGCUUGGUUUUGAUUGUGUUAGGAGAUACACAUUAGACAACCAAGUAGAAAAGUAGAGUAGACAGUCAAAUAUACACAUGUUGAGGCCAGGACUUUAGAAAUAAAUGUGUGAGCCACCAGCAUAGAGAUGGCAUGUAAAAGCAUAAAUGGGAUGAGGGCACCCGAGGAGUGAGUAUAGAUAGAGAAGAUAGGCAUACAUGUGGGUAUUUUGUAGUAUGUGUGCCCAAGGACCCUUUUAGAAAUUUGAGCCUGCUAUAUAAUGGGAUUAGUAUAAUGUCCCCAAAUGAAAGUAAUUUCAGUAAGAAUUCCAGAAAAGUUUGCAGCUUUCAAUACUCUGUUAAAUGGCAACCUAAAAACAAGGGAGAACCCAUGGAAAUUGUUACCAGGGAGACGUCAACAUUCCAGGAAUAAGAAUGCAUUGCAGGUCAGCUGGCUGAACCUCAUUGUGACCUGGGAGCCCUGCAUGAUGAAGGGAUGAUGGGUGAGCUACCAAGGCUAACAUUUUCCCGAGGACAUUGAGUUAGGGAAGUGGCCUCUCCUUGAGGGAAGGAGCCAGAUGACUUCUCAGAGAACAACAACCAUAUUCAAAAUAUUCUCAAGUUUCUUUUGUUUCUUCUUGUCUGCAUCUGAUAUCCAGGACAUUAUUCCACAGGAAAAGGUUAACAGGAAAUCAAGAUCGGCCCGGGCUAAGAGGAGGAUUGUAAGUGAUUCAGAAGCAAAGCUUAUUGAUCACGAAGCAUGACAGUGGAAGAAUUUCCUGAAAAUGGAAGGAGAAGAUGGUUUCACAGCAAAGCUACUAAUCUGAAACAGUAAAAGCAACAAACAAAUGCCCACUCCCCUUAGCUGACCAGAACACAAUCCUUGUGAAAUAUAAAAACAAUUAGGUACAUGUAACACAGGACACUGUUUUUCAAAUUUAAUGUUAACAGUGGGAUUAUUUGUUUUCCCUGCGACAAAUUUCUUUGUGGGAGUCUGAUAUAUCAAAUAGGAUUGGUAAAGUGAAGCAGGCACGGGCAUCUAGAAUUCUGCUGCUUCGUACUGCCCCUUCCCAGUCCCCAGUGGCCAGGAGAUGCCCCAUCAGAGCUCCAGGGCUCUCAGAUCAUUGUUUGAAAACUACUCAUCAGAAUGUCUCUUUGAAUCAGAGCUUGGAUUUCUGAUGCAUCGGACAUUUAAACUCUCCCCGUUUUGCCACCUCUCUUGCAGUGAGUUAACCUAAAACAUAAAGGGAAAAAGCAACAACAAAAAAGAUCAAAAAAGCCCAAACGAUCAAAAAAGGCACGCUGAAAUCUGUGUCCUCACCUAUUCAGAAAGUCAGGGGAAAAAAAGAUAAAAGAAUAAAUCCUAAGCAAAAGCAACUUUCCAUCGAGAUGACAAGUAAGAUAGCUUCUUCCCUUCUGCAUGUGAAUUGCAAUUCCGAUUUAUGAUCUGUGACAUGAUAAUCAAUCAGUCUUAACUGCAUUUUGCAGAUAGUAGCAGCUGUGGAGAUGGGUGCUGAAGUUGACGUUGCCCAGAGAUGAUGUCAUUUCUGGCAAACUCCCCUCAAAUGUGCUUUGAUCGAUGUGGUUGUUCUUUCCUCUGCUAAGUUGACGUGUACUUAACCUCAGGCAGGAAUCACGGUCAAGUCCGUUUAGGGGUCAGAUCCGAUGCAGCCAUGGAAAGCUAGAGAUUCUCAGUCCUGUCAUCCCUUGAUUUUACUUUUCUAGACACUAAGUAAAAAAAUGAGAGGAGAAGGAAGGGAAGCAAGGGACAGGAGUAGAGACUGCUGGUGUCAAGGACAACAGGGUGGAAGGCCAAAUGGAACAUCACAGUCAUCUUGAGUACCACUGCAUGCAAGAACAGCUACCUGAAAGUCAAUGAUGCAUUUAAGAUUUUUCUUCCUGGCCCAUAAUUCCCGUUUGGUUGAGAGUAUAGCUGCAUUAAGUAUAUGGUAAAUUUGCUGCAGGUGGCCCAGAAAACCUCCCCAGCGCUAACAAUCAAUUACCUCUCAGGACAGAAGCUGCUUCCUGUGCAGGAAAUGCGAGAUCUCUGCUCAGUGACAGAGGCUCAGGAAUUUCAUAGGACCUAUGGAUCUUCCAGUCCAACUGAGUGCAGAAAACUGCCAGGUUUCAUCUUCCUCCUUCUCUGCACCAAAAAACCUGAGACCGGGAUGCCAUGUAGCUGCUUCAGUUGGGAGAUGAUGCCAAGAACCACAAAUGAGGAAAUGAAGGGUCUGGCUCUUAUCACCUCUGAAUAGCAUGCCAUUCUCUUAGCCUCAUCUAAGAAACAGACUGUAGGGGAAGAGAAGAUCUAGAAUGUUGGUCACCAACCAAUGGCAGACAUUAUCAGACAAUUUGUGAGCAAGGAAGUCAGGAACUGUGAGCCACCUGCCAUCUUAAUUUGACAUCUAGUCUCACUACUUUCAAGCACCUCCACUUCAAAAUACUCUUACAAGUGAAUCACCAUUGUUAAAUGGAUCUUUGAAGGAAUUUUGACAACCAGACUGAAAACAAUCUAGACAUCUUAGAUAUUUGUGGCUUCACAGAAAAUAAAAUAAAACAACCCUUUUCAGCA